rnacentral:rRNA from 1 species
GCGCAGCAGGCGAGAAAACUUCACACUGUGCGAAAGCACGAUGAGGGAAUCCCAAGUGCUUGCACGUAAGUGUAAGCUGUUUCUCUGUCUAAAACGCAGAGAGAGUAAGGGCUGGGUAAGACGGGUGCCAGCCGCCGCGGUAAUACCUGCAGCUCAAGUGGUGACCGUUAUUAUUGGGCCUAAAACGUCCGUAGCCGGUUUAAUAAAUGCCUGGGUAAAUUGUGUAGCUUAACUAUACGAAUUCCGGGUAGACCUGUUAAACUUGAGACCGGGAGAAGUUAGAGGUACUCCUGGGGUAGAGGUGAAAGUUCUGUAAUCCUAGGGGGACCACCAGUGGCGAAGGCGUCUAACUAGAACGGGUCUGACGGUGAGGGACGAAGCCCU